rnacentral:lncRNA from 1 species
GUAAAUGCAGUUUCAUCAACAAAUCUAUAAAGUUGGGAAUAACAUCUCAAAGUUUUGAUUCGAUCAAAACAAGUGAAGCUCGUAAGAUAGGAGAAAGACAUAGUGGUUAAAUUACAUUGCAUCAUAUUGUUCAACAUACUCACAUCUUUGUAAUAAAUUGACUACAUUUGUAUUAGAACUGUCUUUUCAUUAACAAUAAAAUCUAUUUCUAAC